AUCGUUGCAAAGAGGGGCCGGAGGCGAAGGAGGCGGCGAGGCUGUGCGGCGGGUCGGAGCGACGCCGAGGUCUGACGUGUCCGCGUCCCUGCGGCCCCACUCCCGGCCGCCGUGACCUCCCCUUGCACGGGGCGGACACGAGCAAUGUCACGGGCCCCGCCGCGCGCCGCGAGCACUCACCAGGGUGAGGGCUGCCCGGGUGGGCUGCAGCUUCCUCUUGCUCACAGCCCGGACAGUUGCCCGGACUAAGGAAGCCGACAUCUUCGCCGUCCCGGCGCCCCGGUGCCUCGGGCCGAAGGUCGGCCGCCUCAGCUUCUCUCCAUGGACACGGCGGGCGCAUUGACGCCACAAGCUUCGGCGCACGGCGCCCUCAGUCCUAGCCCCGCCCCCCGCCGCCACCAUUGGGUG
rnacentral:lncRNA from 1 species